GAGCCCAGUUAUAGCUGGUUGCCUGAGAAAUGAAUAGAAGUUCAGCCCUUUAAACCUUUCCCCACCCACAAUGCUUUACGCUUAAAUAGGCCAAGGAAGCUAAAGGAGUUAAUCAGAAGGGGUACAGCCCUUCUGAUAGAAGAAACAACUUUAACAGGUGUCCCAAGAUCAUAUUAAUUAAGGACUUUAAAUUAAGUGGGCCUAAGAGCAGCCAUCUUAACAGAAAGCGUUAAAGCUCAAAUUAAAUACCACCCGCACAUACUGAUAUCUCAUCCCCCUCCCUGCUUUUUACCAGGCUAUCCUAUGCCUCCAUAGGAAUAAUUAUGCUAAAAUGAGUAAUAAGAAGAAUAUUGUUCUUCUCCAAGCACACGUGUAAGUCGGAGCGGACCCCCCGCCGACUAUUAACCGGCCCCAAACCCAGAGGGGCAUAAGUCUUUCCAACAAGAAAACCACUUAUUCUUAACCGUUAACCCUACACAGGUGUGCCCCAAGGAAAGACUAAAAGAGAAGGAAGGAACUCGGCAAACACAAGCCUCGCCUGUUUACCAAAAACAUCGCCUCUUGUCCCUCAGAAUAUAAGAGGUCCCGCCUGCCCUGUGACUAUAUGUUUAACGGCCGCGGUAUCUUAACCGUGCGAAGGUAGCGUAAUCACUUGUCUUUUAAAUGAAGACCUGUAUGAAUGGCAUCACGAGGGCUUAACUGUCUCCCCUCUCCAGUCAAUGAAAUUGACCUCCCCGUGCAGAGGCGGGGAUAUUUCUAUAAGACGAGAAGACCCUGUGGAGCUUUAGACCUAAAAUAAACCACGUUUAAUAUACUAAAAUUAAUAGCAAAAACUUAGUGGACAUUUAUUUAAGUGUCUUUGGUUGGGGCGACCGCGGAGUAAAACACAACCUCCAUGUGGACGGGGAUACUAUCCCUAAAACUCAGAGCCUCCACUCCAAGCAACAGAAAUUCUGACCUCACUGAUCCGGUACAGCCGAUUAACGAACCCAGUUACCCCAGGGAUAACAGCGCAAUCCCCUCUCAGAGCUCAUAUCGACGAGGGGGUUU
rnacentral:rRNA from 1 species